CUGCUAAGCAUGUCAUAUGCAUUAUCUCAUUAGUUGUCACCAACAACCUAUGGCCCUGAUGCUCUUAUUGUUUCCAUUUUUUUCAAUAAGAUUCAUCAUUCACCCCAAGUCACACAGCUGCCAAGUGACAGACUCAGUCCUGCCUCCAGUCGGCCUCCACAGUUCCCUCUCUAAACCAUGAUGUCUCCCCAGCCCCCAGCUAUGUGGACAUAAAGAUUUAUGCUGUGGAGGCAAACAGUCCUCGAAGAUUUAAAGUGGAAGAGGAACUUCUGGCAAAACCAGCUUAGCUUGGAGGUGAAGUGCUAGGUCUGCAUGGGAGGCUUCAGAGAGAUCCAGGGAGCUUCGGGGCAGCCUAGGAACAGACCUUGCACGUGACUGAGCAUGCACCUUCACACAGAAGAUCAAGUGCUUUCAGUGGACAAUGCAGAGCGGGGAAACGUUUUCUCAACACAGCCUCAGAUAUAUUUUUAGUUGAAAUAUGAAGCCACAGCAACACUUUGACUUUUCCUCUUCAGAAGAUGAGACAGGCCAGGGUCGUCAUUGUUACAAAAGCAAGGCCUGUGAUCAUGACAAGGACAGGCUGGGGCAGAGACCACACGUUCAACCAGGUGGACCCUCAGGCCCAGAGCCGGCAGCAGAGGGGGGUGAAUCCAUGGCAACAGGAGUCACAGGUGAACCAAAGGGAAACCAAACACACGCAUCGAAAGCCAAUCAAACACAAACCCCAAAUGUGAAGGCAGCAGCAAGUUCUUUGUGUAAUAAAUAUUGCAAAGCGCA